GACGAACGCUGGCGGCGUGCUUAACACAUGCAAGUCGAACGGAAAGGCCCUGCUUUUGUGGGGUGCUCGAGUGGCGAACGGGUGAGUAACACGUGAGUAACCUACCCUUGACUUUGGGAUAACUUCAGGAAACUGGGGCUAAUACCGGAUAGGAGCUCCUGCUGCAUGGUGGGGGUUGGAAAGUUUCGGCGGUUGGGGAUGGACUCGCGGCUUAUCAGCUUGUUGGCGGGGUAGUGGCUUACCAAGGCUUUGACGGGUAGCCGGCCUGAGAGGGUGACCGGCCACAUUGGGACUGAGAUACGGCCCAGACUCCUACGGGAGGCAGCAGUGGGGAAUAUUGCACAAUGGGCGGAAGCCUGAUGCAGCAACGCCGCGUGCGGGAUGACGGCCUUCGGGUUGUAAACCGCUUUCGCCUGUGACGAAGCGUGAGUGACGGUAAUGGGUAAAGAAGCACCGGCUAACUACGUG
rnacentral:rRNA from 1 species